rnacentral:rRNA from 1 species
CCUACGGGGGGCAGCAGUGGGGGAUAUUGGACAAUGGGGGGAACCCUGAUCCAGCGACGCCGCGUGAGUGAAGGAGUAUUUCGGUAUGUAAAGCUCUAUCAGCAGGGAAGAUUAUGACGGUACCUGAGUAAGAAGCCCCGGCUAACUACGUGCCAGCAGCCGCGGUAAUACGUAGGGGGCAAGCGUUAUCCGGAUUUACUGGGUGUAAAGGGAGCGUAGACGGCAGUGCAAGUCUGAAGUGAAAGGCAAGGGCUCAACCUUUGGACUGCUUUGGAAACUGUGCUGCUAGAGUGUCGGAGAGGCAA